rnacentral:rRNA from 1 species
CACGUAGGGCGCAAGCGUUGUCCGGAAUUAUUGGGCGUAAAGAGCUCGUAGGCGGCUUGUCACGUCGGUUGUGAAAGCCCGGGGCUUAACCCCGGGUCUGCAGUCGAUACGGGCUAGCUAGAGUGUGGUAGGGGAGAUCGGAAUUCCUGGUGUAGCGGUGAAAUGCGCAGAUAUCAGGAGGAACACCGGUGGCGAAGGCGGAUCUCUGGGCCAUUACUGACGCUGAGGAGCGAAAGCGUGGGGAGCGAACAGG